rnacentral:rRNA from 1 species
AGUGUUACUGACGCUGAGGCUCGAAGGUGCGGGUAUCGAACAGGAUUAGAUACCCUGGUAGUCCGCACGGUAAACGAUGGACACCCGCUGUUUGCCAGUUAGGUAAGCGGCCAAGCGAAAGCGUUAAGUGUCCCACCUGGGGAGUACGCCGGCAACGGUGAAACUCAAAGGAAUUGACGGGGGCCCGCACAAGCGGAGGAACAUGUGGUUUAAUUCGAUGAUACGCGAGGAACCUUACCCGGGCUUGAACUGCAGGAGAACGAAACAGAGAUGUUGAGGCCCUUCGGGGCUCCUGUGGAGGUGCUGCAUGGUUGUCGUCAGCUCGUGCCGUGAGGUGUCGGCUUAAGUGCCAUAACGAGCGCAACCCCUUUCGCUAGUUGCCAUCAGGUAGAGCUGGGCACUCUGGCGACACUGCCACCGCAAGGUGUGAGGAAGGUGGGGAUGACGUCAAAUCAGCACGGCCCUUACGUCCGGGGCUACACACGUGUUACAAUGGGGUUUACAGAGCGCCGGCGGCCGGCAACGUCCGUCCAAUCGUGAAAUUUCCCCUCAGUUCGGAUUGGGGUCUGCAACCCGACCCCAUGAAGCUGGAUUCGCUAG